GCUCCGGUGGCCUAGUGGUUAGAGCGUCCGCCUCGGAUGCGGGAGGUCGUGGGUUCGAUCCCCGGUCGAGACA